rnacentral:rRNA from 1 species
UACGGGGGGAGCAAGCGUUGUUCGGAUUUACUGGGCGUAAAGGGCGCGUAGGCGGUCGUGACAAGUCACUUGUGAAAUCUCCGGGCUUAACUCGGAACGGUCAAGUGAUACUGUCGGACUAGAGUACAGAAGGGGCAACUGGAAUUCUCGGUGUAGCGGUGAAAUGCGUAGAGAUCAGGAAGAACACCGGUGGCGAAAGCGUUCUGCUAGACCUGUACUGACACUGAGGGACGAAAGCUAGGGGAGCGAAUGGG